UAUGGAGACUUGCACAGACACACACACACACACACACACACGCGGUGGCGGAGCUGCUGUGUGACGAUACGAACGAAUGUAGUUGUGAACAGUAGUCAUAAAGAUAGAGGAACUGCAGUUGUCUAUGUAAUUCAGCAACAGCAGACCAAACUGUAUUUCUAGGCUGGUUUCUUACGUUAAAAGCAAGUGGAUUCAAAUAUCCUUCAUUUGUUUAUUUUGUGGUUUAUCCACGCGACAUCGGACGCCGUUGCCAGAGCGUUAAACGCCGCCAGUAUUGUGACUCUGCACGCGCCGCUUUGUGGCAUGUUUGAGGGCCAAAGCACACGGAACUGAAGUCCUCAUUCCUCCUGAACAGGAUUCAAUGAAAAUGUCGGUCUGUGUCCACGAGAACCGCAAGUCUCGUGCCAGCACGGGCUCUAUGAACAUCUACCUGUUCCACAAGUCCUCGUAUGCCGACAGCGUGCUAAUGCACCUGAAUGCUCUUCGGCAGCAGAGACUCUUCACCGAUGUUCUGCUUCACGCGGGAAGCCGCUCUUUCCCGUGCCACAGGGCUGUGCUGGCCGCAUGCAGCCGCUACUUUGAAGCCAUGUUCAGCGGAGGGCUGAGAGAGAGUCAGGACAGUGAAGUGGACUUCAGGGACUCCAUUCAUCCAGAGGUAUUGGAGCUCCUUCUGGACUAUGCCUAUUCGUCAAGGGUGAUAAUAAACGAGGAGAACGCGGAGUCUCUCCUUGAGGCCGGUGACAUGCUGGAGUUUCAGGACAUCCGUGAUGCUUGUGCCGAGUUCCUGGAGAAGAACCUUCACCCAUCCAACUGCCUGGGCAUGCUGCUUCUCUCAGAUGCUCACCAGUGCACCCAGCUGUUCCAGCUGUCCUGGAGCAUGUGCCUCAGUAACUUCCCUGCUAUCUGCAAGACUGAAGAGUUUCUCCAGCUGCCCAAGGACAUGCUGGUCCAACUGCUGUCACACGAAGAGCUCGAAACCGAGGACGAGCGUCUGGUCUACGAAUCGGCGCUUAACUGGGUAAACUAUGACCUUGAGAGGAGGCACUGUCACCUUCCGGAGCUGCUCCGUACUGUGCGUCUGGCUCUCCUGCCUGCCAUCUUCCUCAUGGAGAACGUCUCUACGGAGGAGCUCAUCAUUGCACAGGCUAAAAGCAAAGAGCUGGUGGACGAGGCCAUCCGCUGCAAACUGCGCAUCUUGCAAAACGACGGCGUCGUCAAUAGUCCUUGCGCCCGGCCCCGCAAGACCAGCCAUGCCCUUUUCUUGUUGGGUGGCCCCACGUUUAUGUGCGACAAGCUCUACCUGGUGGACCAGAAGGCCAAAGAGAUCAUUCCAAAGGCAGACAUCCCCAGUCCACGCAAAGAGUUCAGCGCCUGUGCCAUUGGCUGCAAAGUGUAUGUGACUGGGGGCCGGGGCUCAGAGAACGGUGUGUCUAAGGACGUCUGGGUGUAUGACACAUUACAAGAAGAAUGGUCCAAAGCGGCUCCGAUGCUGAUCGCACGUUACGGUCACGGUUCCGCUGAGUUACGCCACUGCCUGUACGUCGUUGGAGGUCACACAGCUGCCACUGGCUGUCUGCCUGCAUCACCAUCUGUGUCCUUGAAGCAGGUAGAGCAGUUUGACCCAGUUGCUAAUAAGUGGAGCAUGGUGGCACCACUGCGAGAAGGAGUUAGCAAUGCUGCUGUCGUCAGCGUUAAGCUGAAGUUAUUCGCCUUCGGUGGGACAAGUGUGGCCCAUGACAAGCUGCCUAAAGUUCAGUGCUACGAUCCCUCCGAAAAUCGCUGGGCAGUCCCGGCAUCCUGUCCACAGCCGUGGCGCUACACUGCAGCUGCUGUUCUCGGCAACCAGAUCUUUGUAAUGGGAGGCGACACAGAGUUCUCUGCUUGCUCUGCUUACAAAUUCAGCAGUGAGACUUAUCAGUGGACCAAAGUUGGAGAUGUUACGGCAAAACGAAUGAGCUGCCAAGCGGUGGCCUCUGGAAACAAACUUUAUGUGGUGGGUGGCUACUUUGGUACACAGCGCUGCAAAACCCUAGACUGUUAUGACCCCACGCUGGAUGCAUGGAACAGCAUCACUACCGUACCAUAUUCCUUAAUCCCCACCGCCUUCGUCAGCACCUGGAAACACCUCCCAGCCUGAAGCACGCCUGCUCUCCCCAUGUGACCCUGUUGUUCCUACGAGGUAAUCAGUCUGACUGCAGCAAGAACAGAAUAACCCAUAAUUACUGAUAGAGAGACUCAAACUCCAGGACAGUAGACUAAAUAGAACGAGCACCAACUUAACUUCCUCCUCACUGAAAAUCAAAAACUGAGGCACUCCUUUGCACUCAUUCCAUUCCUGACCCUUUGGAACUGGUCAUUAAGCUUCGCUUUUAAAGUCUCUGUGACCAUGUGCGAGUGAGACGCCGCCCACCUUGACAGGGCAGUUCAUUUCAAAGUGGUGGUCCUGCCUUUGUUCACUGAGCCAUUCCUGUGCAUUUAAAAGACCAUGAAGUGUUCUAAGCAAGCUUCCUCCCUAUCACAAUGAGGAGCCUCACUGCUGGCCAGAGGAGUGGGAGAAGAGAGAAGACCGAGAUGAGGGGAGAGGGGGAGGACUGGAUAAGGGAGGAAUUCUGUGUGUCCAUUUGUCGAUAUUGUCUACUGGAUUCCAACUGUGAAGAAACGCUAUAAGCUUCCUGUGCAAUUUUAUGAAGAGAUUUUCUCCCAUAAGAGCUAACCUAAAUAUUGUGUACAAAGUCCAUUCGCAAAGCUUUUUUUUUUUUUUCCUCCUUGGAAGUUUUAAGUACAUUUGUGAUGUCUCAUCGUUCAUUUUGUGGGGAGUCAGAACUUAGGCUUCACCGUGAAAACCAAAAGAACUGCAACGCACCCUGAAGUCCAGUCUGCUUUCAUCGUAACCAGCAUAAUCAUCAUAUUCGUCCCCCCACGUUUGUGUAAUCGGACCGUUUUUGUACAAUGCUGAUGCCAUGCAAGCUAAAAUAGACCCGUAUGCCUGUCUUAAUUUGUAUAAUGCAUGAAGGAUGAGUGGAAGCUUUUGAUUGGGAGAACAACAAGAGUUUCAACGCAUGAUUGGAGAUGUUAAGAUCCUCCAGGAAAAGUACCUCAUGUCCUGAUAUGUAUCUACCUUUUCUCCCAUGUUGAUGUUAAAAAAUAGACCUUGCUCUGAAGAAAGGCUGAUGUGGACUCUUAAAGGACUGAUAAACAUCACAAGAAGAACAGAAGGAAAUGUGAGCAAGCGUUUUUUAAGUAUUUGUCCUUCACACGUCUGUACGAGGAGGACAGGCUGAUGCUGAACUGUUCCUGUUGAACAGACCUUAGCAGCUUGGUGUGAAAAUGGACACGGGCACAGUGUGUCCCGACGUACACGUGCCAGCUGUGCGUUUGUGACUAAGUGAGUGCGGGAGAGGCAUGUCCCAGCAUGUCCGUCUGACCCCACUCAACACCCAAUCAUACCCCCGCUCCCUCAGAAAUAAACAGCGUGAGCAUGCCAUCUGAGAAAGCCCCAACAAACACUGUCCCUCCAGCUUCUGAUGACUGACCGACAGCAGAUCAGGACAUUUCUCCCGCACAAGAUUUAAACUGUGCAAGACUCUUCUGUUUUGCUGUUUUUUGCCUGUACUAUUCUAAGCACAUACAGUCACAUAAACGUGAACGACAAGAGGGGGAGCGAAAAGAGGUGAGAGUCGUUUCGUCACCCUGCGAGGGAAUGCAGUCUCUAUGGCAACAACAACGAAACUGUAAAUGUAAAAAAAAAGACACAGAAAAAAAAGUGCAAACAACUGGUUGUCUGGCUUCACACAUUAAUAGUCUUAAUUUAUGAUUUUUUUUUAAAGCUGUCUGUUUUGUUUGAUCCAUUGUGUAUUAACAAUAUUUUUUUAUUUAUUGUUAAUUUUUCUACUUGCAUAUAUAUUUGGAUGUGUAGAAGUUGACCGGUUAUUGUACCGCGCAUGGCCCAAAACGCUCUGUGUUCCUGCUGCUCUUUUGCACAUUUACAGAAGGUCAUUUUGACUGAGCAGGUGGAAUUUGUAGUGGUCAGCGGACUCUUGAGCCUCUUGUUCAUCUGAUCAAAAACAGGGAGGCUUGGAGGUCAAAGGUCAUUGACAGGAAUAAGAAUGGGCCGAAUGACGUCAGAGGUUCAGAUUACCCAGGGUGAGCAGGUCAUGGGGGAGUUGGGAAGUUGUUUUGAGAGUUUGGGGCAUAGUUUUCUUCAAAACGGAGGACCAGUUCCCCCAAAAAUGAUGAUUGUCAUCUUGUACUCACUCUCAAAAUUGUCAUUUUUGGGUGAACCAUGCCUUACAAUUUUACCCAAAUGAAUACAGUUCUUUAAGUAAUUGAGAUGUGCUUAAAACAAAGGUCAAUUCAUCUAGUGGUGAUGGUUCUCAACUGUUUGAUAUCUUCUACAAUAUAGAUUGACCUUAAUCCUCCAUCUAAAAUGCAUUACGUUUCGCUUACUAGAACAUUAGGGUAAUUUAGCAAGUGCUUUCGACCUGUGACCCCAUGCCAAACUGGGGCCAGUAUUCACCCUCUGUAACUCUGCUCUGCAUUCAUCACUCUGUCCGUACUGAAACUCAGCCUGACACCGGGUAUCUUUGGGUUGUAAGGGUCCUGUAGAGCUAUCUGAGGAUUGUGAACUGUCACCAGCAUGUUGUAACUUUGACUGUCCCUUAUAGUUCAGCAGUGCUGUUAACAUUAUGAUUGGAUUAGGAAUCUGUCUCAGUCACCUUGCUGGAUGCACUCUUAAAAACAAAGAUUCCAAAAAGGAUUUUUCCCAGUGAUGCCAUAGACGAACCAUUUUGGGUUCUUCAAAGAACUUUUCAAUGGAUACAUUUUUCCAAGAAUCUUAUUUACACUAGAUAUGAAUGAUGUGUUACAACAAAAGCAGAGAGAGCCCAUUAUAAACCGCAAUGCUGUCUUCAGUUAUUGUGACAUGACAGACUAUAAACGUACGCACCUUUAUAUUUCUGACACACUCCAAAUGCUUGUGCUAUUUCUGACAUCAGUACAAAUGGAUUCGGAACUUCUUUUUUUUUUUUUAUUGUUAAUUGUAGACGGCGAACUAUGUAGACGCAGUGUUAGUAUGAAGAACAUUUUAAUAAUCUAAAUAUUAAAGGACCUCAAUACAAAACCUUUUUAAGAGUGGAUGUUGGUUGCUACAGCCUGUGACGUAAAAAGUGAUGAUUUCAUUGGGCAAAUUUAAUGAUGAUGAACAAAAUGGUGUUUGUUAUGAUAAAGCUGAAUCCCAAAGGUCUUGGAAUAACUAACAGUGAUGUCUACAUAAGGGCAAAGACCAUAGUGCUUUCAUGUCGAUGCCAAAUGUGCUUCUUGUAAAGAUGAUCUGUCUGUUUUAAUAUUCACUGCAAAGCAACAACAGUGUUCGGGUAGGUUGUAUAACACCGCUAGCCGUUUGCUACACUAUAGCUGUCGUGACAACACUGCUCUACAUGCUACAAACAAAUUAUAUAGCUUUAAAAAAUAGAAUAUAGUAUUCCAUGCUGUUCAAUUGCACAGCAACGGCAAAGUUGAAGGAAAGCCCUAAGAGAGGAAAACCGGUAGCAAGCAUUCCUCCCACAAACCCUCUCAUCCCCUCCAGGAAAUUCUUGCUUACAAUGUUUCGGUUAGCCUUUAGGGUCUUACACCCCCUUCAUAUUUUACCCCCUCCUUCCCCAUUCCAGAAUACCUUUUCACAGAACACUGCACACUCUGACCUCCAGCCAAUCAAAAACCCUGUUCUGUCCCCCCUCGCAUAACACAGUUGCCACAGCAAUGGUCAACAAUCAUUGCCCCCUCUCCAUUUGAACUAGUAAUAGUCAAGUGUUUUGUUUCCCCUCCUCUCUCCCUCUUGCUCCUUUGCCCUCCCUUCUUCCCGCUCUCCUCCUGCUGAAGUGAAAGACUGAUUCAGAGGUGACUCAUACGCCUGUGUGCAUUUAGAACUCUUAAAAGCUGUAUGCCUUCACGAACAGACGCAUUGCUAAAGCACUGUCAAUGUUGGCCUGUACUGUUGUUUCUGUGGGCGUCAUUUUUCUUUUAAUUUCUGUAUUUGUCGUAUUAGAGAAUUGUAUUGUUAUUUUAUCUCAACCACUGCGGUUAACAUUAUUUUGUACAAGUGAUUUUUUCACAAUGUGAAAUUCAUGGCUAAAUAAAGACAAGAGUUUUUCCUCUUGAGAGAUACCGUAUAAAA